rnacentral:rRNA from 1 species
AUUGAACGCUGGCGGCAGGCCUAACACAUGCAAGUCGAACGGUAACAGGAAGCAGCUUGCUGCUUUGCUGACGAGUGGCGGACGGGUGAGUAAUGUCUGGGAAACUGCCGAUUGAGGGGGAAAACCACUGGAAACGGGAGCUUAUACCGCAUAACCUCCCAAGGCCAAAGGGGGGGGCCUUAGGGGCCUCUGCCAUCGGAAGUGUCCAGGUGGGUUUAGCUAGUAGGGGGGGUAACGGCUCACCUAGGCGACGAUCCCUAGCUGGUCUGAGAGGAUGACCAGCCACACUGGAACUGAGACACGGUCCAGACUCCUACGGGAGGCAGCAGUGGGGAAUAUUGCACAAUGGGCGCAAGCCUGAUGCAGCCAUGCCGCGUGUAUGAAGAAGGCCUUCGGGUUGUAAAGUACUUUCAGCGGGGAGGAAGGGAGUAAAGUUAAUACCUUUGCUCAUUGACGUUACCCGCAGAAGAAGCACCGGCUAACUCCGUG